ACUAAAUGGGACGCGACCCCAAUUAACCUAAUCACUUCCACCUGCGCAUGCUCCGCCUUCACCACCUCCUGUGAGAAGAGUCUGCUGGAGGAGCCGAAGGACUUCCGGAGGGUUUACUGGAUAUGUCAGAUGUCUCGAAACCUGCCACCAACUUUCUGCAUUGGCAAUAGCCUGCCACAGUCAGGAAGGGCCACCAG